AACGCUGGCGGCGUGCUUAACACGUGCAAGUCGAGCGAUGAAGUUCCUUCGGGAAAUGGAUUAGCGGCGGACGGGUGAGUAACACGUGGGUAACCUGCCUCAUAGAGGGGAAUAGCCUUUCGAAAGGAAGAUUAAUACCGCAUAAGAUUGUAAUGGUCGCAUGACAUAGCAAUUAAAGGAGUAAUCCGCUAUGAGAUGGACCCGCGUCGCAUUAGCUAGUUGGUGAGGUAACGGCUCACCAAGGCGACGAUGCGUAGCCGACCUGAGAGGGUGAUCGGCCACAUUGGACUGAGACACGGCCCAGACUCCUACGGGAGGCAGCAGUGGGGAAUAUUGCACAAUGGGGGGAAACCCUGAUGCAGCAACGCCGCGUGAGUGAUGAAGGUCUUCGGAUUGUAAAGCUCUGUCUUUAGGGACGAUAAUGACGGUACCUAAGGAGGAAGCCACGGCUAACUACGUGCCAGCCGCAGC
rnacentral:rRNA from 1 species